rnacentral:misc_RNA from 1 species
AAGUCGUAACAAGGUUUCCGUAGGUGACCUGCGGAAGGAUCAUUAACACGUAUCCAAACGUUAAACCCCCCUGUGAACCUUCACCUGUACUCGUACGUCCGUUAGAAAAAGCAGCAAUCCCUGGUAAAUCAUCGCCGAACAGUUUUCGAUUCAGGGACGUCUGCAAGGAGCGUGCAUGUUGUGCGAAGCAAGUGGCCUGGCAUCUGUCUGAAAGUGUCAUUACCUGUGUAAGGAUGACGCAGUCACGAUCGUUGGAGGCCCACAGGGUCGCUGGGCGCAAGCCCCCCUAGAACAAACCCCCUGCCAAUCGCGGCCGCGAUAAUACGCAGUCGACCAAAAACCGAACAACUGUUAACAAUGGAUAUCUUGGUUCUC